rnacentral:lncRNA from 1 species
CUGGAUGUUAUGUCUCUCACUUAGGCCGGUGCCAAUUCACUUGCAUGGUACGUUUUUAUAAACUUUUGAGUAAUUUUUAGCUGGUGUCUCUACACGUUCUCCGAGUAUAUACUUAGACUAAGUUGUCUUGGUUUAUUUCGUGUACUUGGAGACCAUGGGGAGGUGCUGCUAAUUUUUUUUAAAAAUAGAAGAAACAUGCUUAAGAUUGACACUAGUGAGCAGAGACAUCUAGGAACCGAAUAGAAGCC